GGAGCAGGUUACGAAAGUAGGGACUUAGUGAUUCCGGUGGUAUAAAGUGGGGAUUGCCAUCGCUCCACCGAUAAAAGCUACCCCUGGGGAUAACCAGGCUUAUCACUCCCAAGAGUUCACAUCGACGGAGUGGUUUGGCACCUUCGAUGUCGGCUCAUCGCAUCCUGGGGGCUGUAGUAGGUCCCAAGGGUUGGGCUGUUCGCCCAUUAAAAGCGGUACGCGAGCUGGGUUCAGAACGUCGUGAGACAGUUCGUCCCUAUCCGGCGUGGGCGUAGGAUAUUUGAGAGGAGCUGUCCUUAGUACGAGAGGACCGGGAUGGACUGACCUCUGGUGUACCUGUUGCACUACCAAGUGCAUGGCAGGGUAGCCAAGUCGGGAAGGGAUAAACGCUGAAGGCAUCUAAGCGUGAAGCCCCCCUCAAGAUGAGAUAUCCCAUUCGCAAGAAUUAAGACCCCUUGAAGACGACGAGGUUGAUAGGUCAGAGGUGGAAGUGUGGUAACACAUGGAGCUGACUGAUACUAAUAGGUCGAGGGCUUAUCCAU
rnacentral:ncRNA from 1 species